UACGUAGGCAGCGAGCGUUGUUCGGAUUUACUGGGCGUAAAGGGCGCGUAGGCGGUCAGCACAGGUCAGUUGUGAAAUCUCCGGGCUUAACUCGGAAAGGUCAACUGAUACUGUGCGACUAGAGUGCAGAAGGGGCAACUGGAAUUCCUGGAUGUAGCGGUGAAAUGCGCAGACGUAUCAGGAAGAACACCCGUGGCGAAGGCGGCUCACUGGCCCGAUACUGACGCUGGAGGCACGAAAGCGUGGGGAGCAAACAGG
rnacentral:rRNA from 1 species